rnacentral:rRNA from 1 species
AGGGAAUAGAUACCCUGGUAGUCCUGGCAGUAAACGAUGAGCACUGGGUGUGGGGGGUAUCGAGCCCCUCCGUGCCGUAGUCAAACACAAUAAGUGCUCCGCCUGGGGAGUACGGCCGCAAGGUUAAAACUACAAAGGAAUUGACGGGGGCCCGGCACAAGCAGCGGAGCGUGUGGUUUAAAUUCGAUGCGACGCGAAGAACCUUACCUGGGUUUGACAUGGGCGCGAAACCCCUAGAAAUAGGGUCCCUCUUCGGAGCGCGUUCACAGAUGUUGCAUGGCUGUCGUCAGCUCGUGUCGUGAGAUGUUGGGUUAAGUCCCGCAACGAGCGCAACCCUCGUGGCUAGUUGCCUUAUCUAGCCAGACUGCCUACUAAAUAGGAGGAAGGUGGGGAUGACGUCAAGUCCGCAUGGCUCUUACAUCCAGGGCUACACACACGCUACAAUGGCCGGUACAGAGCGCGGCAAGCUCGCGAGGGCAAGCGAAUCGCAAAAAACCGGUCUCAGUUCGGAUUGCAGGCUGCAA